AACGAACGCUGGCGGCAGGCUUAACACAUGCAAGUCGAACGCACCGCAAGGUGAGUGGCAGACGGGUGAGUAACACGUGGGGAUCUGCCCAAUGGUACGGAAUAGCUCCGGGAAACUGGAAUUAAUACCGUAUGUGCCCCUCGGGGGAAAGAUUUAUCGCCAUUGGAUGAACCCGCGUCGGAUUAGCUAGUUGGUGAGGUAAAGGCUCACCAAGGCGACGAUCCGUAGCUGGUCUGAGAGGAUGAUCAGCCACACUGGGACUGAGACACGGCCCAGACUCCUACGGGAGGCAGCAGUGGGGAAUAUUGGACAAUGGGCGCAAGCCUGAUCCAGCCAUGCCGCGUGAGUGAUGAAGGCCUUAGGGUUGUAAAGCUCUUUCGCCGACGAAGAUAAUGACGGUAGUCGGAGAAGAAGCCCCGGCUAACUUCGUGCCAGCCGCCGCAGUAAAAC
rnacentral:rRNA from 1 species